CAGCCGCCACGGUAAAACGUAGGGUGCAAGCGUUAAUCGGAAUUACUGGGCGUAAAGCGUGCGCAGGCGGUUAUAUAAGACAGAUGUGAAAUCCCCGGGCUCAACCUGGGAACUGCAUUUGUGACUGUAUAGCUAGAGUACGGCAGAGGGGGAUGGAAUUCCGCGUGUAGCAGUGAAAUGCGUAGAUAUGCGGAGGAACACCGAUGGCGAAGGCAAUCCCCUGGGCCUGUACUGACGCUCAUGCACGAAAGCGUGGGGAGCAAACAGGAUUAGAUACCCGGGUAGUCCCUGUCUCUUAUAC
rnacentral:rRNA from 1 species